rnacentral:rRNA from 1 species
GACGAACCGAGCGAACGUUGUUCGGAAUAACUGGGCUUAAAGGGCGCGUAGGCGGGCUGUCAAGUUUGGGGUGAAAUCCCGCGGCUCAACCGUGGAACUGCCUCAAAUACUGACGGUCUCGAGGGAGGUAGGGGCGAGCGGAACUGAUGGUGGAGCGGUGAAAUGCGUUGAUAUCAUCAGGAACUCCGGUGGCGAAGGCGGCUCGCUGGACCUCUUCUGACGCUGAGGCGCGAAAGCUAGGGGAGCAAACGGGAUUAGAUACCCCGGUAGUCCUAGCCCUAAACGUUGGGUACUAGAUAGUGGACUAGACAUGGGUUCACUGUCGAAGCAAAAGUGCUAAGUACCCCGCCUGGGGAGUAUGGUCGCAAGGCUGAA